rnacentral:rRNA from 1 species
UAGGGAAUAUUGCAUAAUGGGCGAAAGCCUGAUGCAGCAACGCCGCGUGUGCGAUGAAGGCCUUCGGGUUGUAAAGCACUUUUGACCGGGAAGAGGAAGGACGGUACCGGUCGAAUAAGCCUCGGCUAACUACGUGCCAGCAGCCGCGGUAAAACGUAGGAGGCGAGCGUUAUCCGGAUUUACUGGGUGUAAAGCGCGUGCAGGCGGUAGGCUAAGUUGGGUGUGAAAGCUCCUGGCUCAACUAGGAGAGGUCGCUCAAGACUGGCCAACUGGAGAGCAGUAAGGGAAGGUGGAAUUCCGGGUGUAGUGGUGAAAUGCGUAGAUAUCCGGAGGAACACCAGUGGCGAAAGCGGCCUUCUGGACUGCAUCUGACGCUCAGACGCGAAAGCUAGGGGAGCAAACGG